GAUGAAGAACGUAGCGAAAUGCGAUAAGUAAUGUGAAUUGCAGAAUUCAGUGAAUCAUCGAAUCUUUGAACGCACCUUGCGCCCUUUGGCUAUUCUGAAGGGCAUGCCUGUUUGAGUAUCAUGAACACCUCAACUCUCAUGGUUUGCCAUGAUGAGCUUGGACUUUGGGGGUCUUGCUGGCCUACGGUCGGCUCCUCUCAAAUGAAUCAGCUUGCCAGUGUUUGGUGGCAUCACGGGUGUGAUAACUAUCUACGCUUGUGGUUUCCCACCAGGUAACCUUCAGUGAUGGAGGUUCGCUGGGGCUCAUAAAUGUCCCUCCACAGUGAGGACAGCUUUUGAACGUUUGAUCUCAAAUCAGGUAGGACUACCCGCUGAACUUACGCAUAUCAAUAAGCGGAGGA
rnacentral:misc_RNA from 1 species